GUAACAGAGGGUUCGAUCUCUGGCUCAGAUUGAACGCUGGCGGGAUGCUUUACACAUGCAAGUCGAACGGCAGCACGGACUUCGGUCUGGUGGCGAGUGGCGAACGGGUGAGUAAUGUAUCGGAACGUGCCUAGUAGCGGGGAUAACUACGCGAAAGGUAGCUAAUACCGCAUACUGCCCUUCGGGGAAAGCGGGGGACCUUCGGGCCUCGCACUAUUAGAGCGGCCGAUAUCGGAUUAGCUAGUUGGUGGGGUAACGGCUCACCAAGGCGACGAUCCGUAGCUGGUUUGAGAGGACGACCAGCCACACUGGGACUGAGACACGGCCCAGACUCCUACGGGAGGCAGCAGUGGGGAAUUUUGGACAAUGGGGAAACCCUGAUCCAGCCAUCCCGCGUGUGCGAUGAAGGCCUUCGGGUUGUAAAGCACUUUUGGCAGGAAGAAACGGCACGGGAUAAUACCCCGUGCAACUGACGGUACCUGCAGAAUAAGCACCGGCUAACUACGUGCCAGCAGCCGCGGUAAUACGUAGGGUGCAAGCGCGUUAAUCGGAAUUACUGGGCGUAAAGCGUGCGCAGGCGGUUCGGAAAGAACGAUGUGAAAUCCCAGAGCUUAACUUUGGAACUGCAUUUUUAACUACCGAGCUAGAGUGUGUCAGAGGGAGGUGGAAUUCCGCGUGUAGCAGUGAAAUGCGUAGAUAUGCGGAGGAACACCGAUGGCGAAGGCAGCCUCCUGGGAUAACACUGACGCCUGCACGAAAGUGUGGAUAAAACAGACAGAUACUUAUGUCCGCGCCUAAACAAGAUGUCAACUAGCUGCUGGAUCGGCCCGAGUAGCGAUGGUGUGCCAUCGCAAGAAGUUGACUGUUCAUACGGCCAAGAUUAAUAAACCAUCUGAUUGACCUGCACAAGUGUGGAUGAUGAUUAAUUCGAUGCAACGCGAAAACCUUACCUACCCUUGACAUGUCUGGAAUCCCCGAAGAGAUUUGGGAGUGCUCGCAAGAGAACCGGAACACAGGUGCUGCAUGGCUGUCGUCAGCUCGUGUCGUGAGAUGUUGGGUUAAGUCCCGCAACGAGCGCAACCCUUGUCAUUAGUUGCUACGAAAGGGCACUCUAUCGAGACUGCCGGUGACAAACCGGAGGAAGGUGGGGAUGACGUCAAGUCCUCAUGGCCCUUAUGGGUAGGGCUUCACACGUCAUACAAUGGUCGGGACAGAGGGUCGCCAACCCGCGAGGGGGAGCCAAUCCCAGAAACCCGAUCGUAGUCCGGAUCGCAGUCUGCAACUCGACUGCGUGAAGUCGGAAUCGCUAGUAAUCGCGGAUCAGCAUGUCGCGGUGAAUACGUUCCCGGGUCUUGUACACACCGCCCGUCACACCAUGGGAGUGGGUUUCACCAGAAGUAGUUAGCCUAACCGUAAGGAGGGCGAUUACCACGGUAGGAUUCAUGACUGGGGUGAAGUCGUAACAAGGUAA
rnacentral:rRNA from 1 species